rnacentral:rRNA from 1 species
AUUGAACGCUGGCGGCAGGCUUAACACAUGCAAGUCGAGCGGUAGCACAGGGGAGCUUGCUCCCUGGGGGACGAGCGGCGGACGGGUGAGUAAUGUCUGGGAAACUGCCUGAUGGAGGGGGAUAACUACUGGAAACGGUAGCUAAUACCGCAUAACGUCGCAAGACCAAAGAGGGGGACCUUCGGGCCUCUUGCCAUCAGAUGUGCCCAGAUGGGAUUAGCUAGUAGGUGGGGUAAUGGCUCACCUAGGCGACGAUCCCUAGCUGGUCUGAGAGGAUGACCAGCCACACUCGAACUGAGACACGGUCCAGACUCCUACGGGAGGCAGCAGUGGGGAAUAUUGCACAAUGGGCGCAAGCCUGAUGCAGCCAUGCCGCGUGUGUGAAGAAGGCCUUCGGGUUGUAAAGCACUUUCAGCGAGGAGGAAGGUGGUGAGCUUAAUACGUUCAUCAAUUGACGUUACUCGCAGAAGAAGCACCGGCUAACUCCGUG